rnacentral:rRNA from 1 species
GAUGAACGCUGGCGGCGUGCUUAACACAUGCGAGUCGAACGAAGCAUUUAAGACAGAUUACUUCGGUUUGAGGUCUUUUAUGACUGAGUGGCGGACGGGUGAGUAACGCGUGGGUAACCUGCCUCAUACAGGGGGAUAGCAGCUGGAAACGGCUGGUAAUACCGCAUAAGCGCACAGUACCACAUGGUACAGUGUGAAAAACUCCGGUGGUAUGAGAUGGACCCGCGUCUGAUUAGCUUGUUGGCGGGGUAACGGCCCACCAAGGCGACGAUCAGUAGCCGACCUGAGAGGGUGACCGGCCACAUUGGGACUGAGACACGGCCCAGACUCCUACGGGAGGCAGCAGUGGGGAAUAUUGCACAAUGGAGGAAACUCUGAUGCAGCGACGCCGCGUGAGUGAAGAAGUAGUUCGCUAUGUAAAGCUCUAUCAGCAGGGAAGAUAGUGACGGUACCUGACUAAGAAGCUCCGGCUAAAUACGUG